rnacentral:rRNA from 1 species
AUGCACGCGGCAGCGACCGCCCCGGCGCUCGCGCCGCCCAUCCUCCUCCCCCUCGGCCCACCCACCGGCGCCGGCUCCUCCGCCCGGCCGCGCCGCGCCGCCGUCCGGUGCGAGCUCGCCGCCGCCUCCUCCGCGGCACCCGCGGCCGCUCCCGGGUCCGUGGCUGGCCCCCGCUGGGCCCAGAGGACGGUCGUCAUCCCGCCGCAGCGCCGCGGCUGCCACAUCAUCACCCACAAGAUCAUGCACGCGAUCAGGAGCGACCUCUCCGAGUUCAAGUGCGGCCUGGCGCAUCUCUUCUUGCACCACACGAGCGCUUCACUCACUCUUAAUGAGAACUACGACCCCGAUGUCCAAACUGACACUGAAACAUUCCUUAGUCGAAUUGUCCCAGAGGGUCCAUCUGCUCCAUGGAGGCACACCAUUGAAGGAUCUGAUGACAUGCCAGCACAUAUCAAAUCAUCAAUGUUUGGCUGUGCCUUGACAAUUCCUAUCACUGACGGGCGUCUCAACAUGGGAACUUGGCAGGGUAUAUGGCUCUGUGAACACCGUGAUUACGCUACUCCUCGCACAAUUGUGAUUACACUCAGUGGGAUAUGA